AUGCCCUCGAGGAAUACCCUUAGAUUACGAUCCGACGAGCCACCUUUCCCCAGAGCCUCUACGACCGCCGCCUUCCACUCUGACGCCGCACGCCGUGCGCCCCCCGCGGCCUCGCCCUCCCGCAUCACCUCCUCUACACGCCGCCUCACCUCGGCCGCGCGAAGCACGCCGUCGCCACCCACCUCCGCGCGCGCUCCGACGCGCCACUCGCACUCGACGAGCCACGCGUUCAUCCGCUGGUCCGACAUCUUUGGCACGCACACCAUCGGCACGCCGCACGCCACGCUCUCCAUCACGGAGUUCCACCCGCAGUGCGUCACGAAGCAACCCACCGCCGCGUGCAACAGCACACGCACCUGGUCUCACCACUCCACCACCAUGCCGUUCUUGAGUGGCGCGUCCAUCUCCGUCUCCGACGCCUCGCCAUCCGCGAGCUCCGCCUUGAUGUCCUUCCGGACGACGCACAGGUACGGCCUCCCGGUCUCCUCGAGUCCGAGGAGCAGUUCGUCGAGCUGCUCCCUCUCCAUCCUCGCCAGGCUCCCGAACGCGACGUACACCACGGAAUCGGCCGGUUUGGCGUCGAGCCACUCCAUGUACUUGACGCCGUCCUGCUUGAAGAGGCCGGCCUCGUCGCCGGACGGGAGCACCGGGCCGAUCGGCAGCGCGUCGUACGCUCCCACCGCGGCGAGCGCGCCCUCCUCGAGUUCCUGGCACGUGUUGACGAGCACGGUGGCUCUGGGGGUCUCCCUGUCGAGCGUGUCGAACAGGUCGCGGACGGUAGUGUACACGCUGUGGAAGAAGUCGGACGGAUCGGUGGACUCGGUGAGGAAGGACGGGAGGUCCCGCACGGCCUGCGGCGGUAGGCCCGGGAACCGCACGAGGAACGACGGGUCAUGGCGGUGGUCGGCCACGACGGCGGCGUGGCCAUGGAAGUAG
rnacentral:rRNA from 1 species